rnacentral:rRNA from 2 species
UCAGAGUUUGAUCCUGGCUCAGAUUGAACGCUGGCGGCAGGCCUAACACAUGCAAGUCGAGCGGUAACAUUUCUAGCUUGCUAGAAGAUGACGAGCGGCGGACGGGUGAGUAAUGCUUGGGAACGUGCCGUAAGGUGGGGGACAACCAUUGGAAACGAUGGCUAAUACCGCAUAAUGUCUACGGACCAAAGGGGGCUUCGGCUCUCGCCUUAUGAUCGGCCCAAGUGGGAUUAGCUAGUUGGUAAGGUAAUGGCUUACCAAGGCGACGAUCCCUAGCUGGUUUGAGAGGAUGAUCAGCCACACUGGAACUGAGACACGGUCCAGACUCCUACGGGAGGCAGCAGUGGGGAAUAUUGCACAAUGGGCGCAAGCCUGAUGCAGCCAUGCCGCGUGUGUGAAGAAGGCCUUAGGGUUGUAAAGCACUUUCAGUAAGGAGGAAAGGUUAGUAGUUAAUACCUGCUAGCUGUGACGUUACUUACAGAAGAAGCACCGGCUAACUCCGUGCCAGCAGCCGCGGUAAUACGGAGGGUGCGAGCGUUAAUCGGAAUUACUGGGCGU